UACGUAGGGUGCGAGCGUUGUCCGGAAUUAUUGGGCGUAAAGAGCUCGUAGGCGGCUUGUCGCGUCGGAUGUGAAAGCCCGGGGGCUUAACUCCGGGUCUGCAUUCGAUACGGGGCAGGCUAGAGUUCGGUAGGGGAGAUCGGAAUUCCUGGUGUAGCGGUGGAAAUGACGCAGAUAUCAGGAGGAACACCGGUGGCGAAGGCGGAUCUCUGGGCCGAUACUGACGCUGAGGAGCGAAAGCGUGGGGAGCGAACAGG
rnacentral:rRNA from 1 species